CCCAGGCUUACUCAAUUAACCCAUUAAGAACCGAGAUCCCAGGCAGUCAAACAGAGUACAGUGCUCUGCAGUGGGGACAAAACAUAAUACAUUUUACUUGAAAAACAUGUUUAUCAAACAUUUGCUAUGUAGGAUGAAAAGAUGAAGUGAUAUUUAAGACAUCUCAGAUAUCAAAAUGGAUUAUCUGGGAGGAUGGGCGGUGGGAUAAGGGCUCGGCAUGGACUGGGAAGAGGUAGGAAGAACCUGGAAACUCUUUACCUUAACCUGAGGAUUGGUUAGCAAAGACACACACACACACAUAUAUACACAAAUACAUACAUGCAUAUAUAAAUAUAUAUAUGCAUAUACACAGAGAUGUAUAUUGAGCUGAACUCAAUGUGUACAUAUACAUACUUAAGAUUAUUGCACUUUACAUAGUUGACUGCAAAUAUUUCAUACCUCAAUGGGGGUAAAAGAGACCCUUUUUUUCUGCCCACCAAGACCUCACAGUCUGGUAUUACCAAGCACCUGAAAGACGACAUGGGCAACCAGGAGGUUCCCAGCUUAGGAACGAUCUGGCUGGGAAGGCACAUGAAAAAACUUAAGGGCGUUUCCGCUGUGAUAAAGUCAUAGGCAGAUCUGAAAGCACCCGGAGGAAGAAACCAACAAACAAGAGGCAUUGAACUUCUGCAGUCACGGCUCAAGGACACCUACGGUGCAAGGUCAGCGGCUGUUGGCCCUUGGGGUGUCCGCCAGGCCCCUGCCGCCUGGGAGAAGGCUCCAAAGGCCGGCCAGGGUGCUUCCUGGGCAGAGAGAAGCCCACUGAGCCAGCCACGAAGGAGGCGGAUGCCAGUCUGGCCACCCUGGGAGGAGCCCCAGGCACACGGGCUCCACUGAGGCCUGUGAAGGGCUCCUGUGCCCGCAGAGGGCAGUGGGGCAGAGGCGGCGGCCAGAGGACCCCUCGUGCCUUGUGGCACCAUGGCCCCCGGUGUGGCACCUGCGUGGAAGGAAGGAUAGUCCUGUGGACCAGGUCUG
rnacentral:lncRNA from 1 species